CAGCCGCCGCGGUAAUACGAAGGGGGCUAGCGUUGUUCGGAAUUACUGGGCGUAAAGCGCACGUAGGCGGAUAUUUAAGUCAGGGGUGAAAUCCCAGAGCUCAACUCUGGAACUGCCUUUGAUACUGGGUAUCUUGAGUAUGGAAGAGGUGAGUGGAAUUCCGAGUGUAGAGGUGAAAUUCGUAGAUAUUCGGAGGAACACCAGUGGCGAAGGCGGCUCACUGGUCCAUUACUGACGCUGAGGUGCGAAAGCGUGGGGAGCAAACAGGAUUAGAGACCCCGGUAGUCCCUGUCUCUUAUAC
rnacentral:rRNA from 1 species